rnacentral:rRNA from 1 species
GAUGAACGCUGGCGGCGUGCCUAAUACAUGCAAGUCGAGCGAACAGACGAGGAGCUUGCUCCUCUGACGUUAGCGGCGGACGGGUGAGUAACACGUGGAUAACCUACCUAUAAGACUGGGAUAACUUCGGGAAACCGGAGCUAACACCGGAUAAUAUAUUGAACCGCAUGGUUCAAUAGUGAAAGACGGUUUUGCUGUCACUUAUAGAUGGAUCCGCGCCGCAUUAGCUAGUUGGUAAGGUAACGGCUUACCAAGGCGACGAUGCGUAGCCGACCUGAGAGAAUGAUCGGCCGCACUGGAACUGAGACACGGUCCAGACUCCUACGGGAGGCAGCAGUAGGGAAUCUUCCGCAAUGGGCGAAAGCCUGACGGAACAACGCCGCGUGAGUGAUGAAAGUCUUCGGAUCGUAAAACUCUGUUAUUAGGGAAGAACAAAUGUGUAAGUAACUAUGCACGUCUUGACGGUACCUAAUCAGAAAGCCACGGCUAACUACGUG